UGCCAGCCGCCGCGGUAAUACGUACUGGGCGAACGUUAUUCGGAAUCACUGGGCUUAAAGGGUGCGUAGGCGGCUUACCAGGUCUGAUGUGAAAUCUCACGGCUCAACCGUGAAAUUGCGUUGGAAACCGGUAGGCUUGAGUAGGCUAGAGGUGUGUGGAACUUCCGGUGGAGCGGUGAAAUGUGUUGAUAUCGGAAGGAACGCCGGUGGCGAAAGCGACACACUGGGGCCUAACUGACGCUGAGGCACGAAAGCUAAGGUAGCGAACGGGAUUAGAUA
rnacentral:rRNA from 1 species